rnacentral:rRNA from 1 species
AGUGAACGCUGGCGGUAGGCCUAACACAUGCAAGUCGAACGGCAGCACAGGAGAGCUUGCUCUCUGGGUGGCGAGUGGCGGACGGGUGAGGAAUACAUCGGAAUCUACUUUUUCGUGGGGGAUAACGUAGGGAAACUUACGCUAAUACCGCAUACGACCUACGGGUGAAAGCAGGGGAUCUUCGGACCUUGCGCGAUUGAAUGAGCCGAUGUCGGAUUAGCUAGUUGGCGGGGUAAAGGCCCACCAAGGCGACGAUCCGUAGCUGGUCUGAGGGUGUGAUCAGCGACACUGGAACUGAGACACGGUCCAGACUCCUACGGGAGGCGGCAGUGGGGAAUAGUGGACAAUGGGCGCAAGCCUGAACCAGCCAUACCGCGUGGGUGAAGAAGGCCUUCGGGUUGUAAAGCCCUUUUGUUGGGAAAGAAAUCCAGCUGGUUAAUACCCGGUUGGGAUGACGGUACCCAAAGAAUAAGCACCGGCUAACUUCGUGCCAGCCGCCGCCGUAA